AUACGUAGGGUGCAAGCGUUAAUCGGAAUUACUGGGCGUAAAGCGUGCGCAGGCGGUUUUGUAAGGCAGAGGGGAAAUCCCCGGGCUCAACCUGGGAACUGCCUUUGUGACUGCAAGGCUAGAGUACGGCAGAGGGGGAUGGAAUUCCGCGUGUAGCAGUGAAAUGCGUAGAAAUGCGGAGGAACACCGAUGGCGAAGGCAAUCCCCUGGGCCUGUACUGACGCUCAUGCACGAAAGCGUGGGGAGCAAACAGGAUUAGAUACCCUGGUAGUCCACGCCCUAAACGAUGUCAACUGGUUGUUGGGUCUUCAUUGACUCAGUAACGAAGCUAACGCGUGAAGUUGACCGCCUGGGGAGUACGGCCGCAAGGUUAAAACUUAAAGGAAUUGACGGGG
rnacentral:rRNA from 1 species